rnacentral:rRNA from 1 species
UUCUGGCUCAGGAUGAACGCUAGCUACAGGCUUAACACAUGCAAGUCGAGGGGUAGCAGGGUAGCAAUACCGCUGACGACCGGCGCACGGGUGAGUAACACGUAUCCAACCUUCCCAUAACUCGGGGAUAGCCUUUCGAAAGAAAGAUUAAUACCCGAUAGUACUUAAGAAAGGCAUCUUUUUUAAGUUAAAGAUUUAUUGGUUAUGGAUGGGGAUGCGUUCCAUUAGAUAGUUGGUGAGGUAACGGCUCACCAAGUCUUCGAUGGAUAGGGGUUCUGAGAGGAAGGUCCCCCACAUUGGUACUGAGACACGGACCAAACUCCUACGGGAGGCAGCAGUGAGGAAUAUUGGUCAAUGGGCGAGAGCCUGAACCAGCCAAGUAGCGUGAAGGAAUGAAGGUCCUAUGGAUUGUAAACUUCUUUUAUAGUAGAAUAAAGUGAUCCACGUGUGGAUUUUUGUAUGUAUACUAUGAAUAAGGAUCGGCUAACUCCGUGCCAGCCGCCGC